CUAUAAACUCCAAUAAACAUGUGUCGAACUUAUGUUGUCACUCGGACGCUUCCUUGUAAAACGUAUAUUGAAGUUAAGCGCUGUGAUGAUCUCGACCUCGACAUGAGUUUACUAACAACAGACGAUAUUCCCGUACUUUAAUCUGAAUUAUUUGAAAUCGUGAACAUAAAAAGAAAACGUGCAUUGGUCGGUUCCUCGUCUGAAAAUACAUCCAUAUUAAACAAUAGGCGUAUGACAGACGAGGCCAAAACCUCUGGUCAGAUUACAUGUUUAUCGUUCGGUUCACCUAUGACCUCGUUUGUUUACCUUGCUCCCGAGAUGUGACGAGAGUGCUCCUCGAGCUCGUGCGAUCUAAAUGUGCACGAUGCAAGUAUUAAAUACUGUAAUAUUUAUCUUAAAAGUAUGACACAAUAGAAGUUUAUGAUUUAGAAUAAAAAACACGCACAAGUAAAAAUGAAUCGUGUUAAUCUCUGGCAGUAAAAUAUUUAUCCCAUGAUGCAACACACACGAGUUUAGCGGGAAGUCUGAUAGCCAUGUUUGAAUUCACCGGAUGUUUAUUUCCAGAAGAAAAGUAUAAACAAACACGACGAUAGCCUAAAAACGAAGUUUGUUUCCAGUCUUACUGAAGAAGAUCGACUUACUUCAAGUUACCGACGAAUGAAUAUCAGCUUUCUCGUUGUUUUUGACGACCGAUGCAUAUUUUUACCGACAAACAUCGUUACGAGACAGGGGUUUUGAUGAUUAAUUUAUCACAGAUUACACGGCCGAAGGAAACGCAGUACCGAUCCAUGUGUUACAAUCAGACUGAGUCUUCAUGCAGUACAUUCUGGAAUGAGGAACACCGCAUGCAUUAAUUGUGGUCCAAAUUGAUGGCAUUGACUUAACACAAAGCAGAAAGGAAUGAAGAGAAAUGAAGAAGUUUAUGUUUCACAUUAAUUAAGAUUAUUCGAGAUAUGUUAUCUGUCGAGUUUACGGACACACAUGAAAACAGUUUCCAGUACAUCUGGGCUACUUCGAGGAAACUACGUAUACUGUCUGAAAUCAGUCUUGUGCUUCGGUGACAAAAUGUAUACAUAUCCUACUAUAACUCUGCUGGAAAAUAUUAUUUUGUACUAUUUUCCUACUAUUUUAGAAAAAAAACACAGAAUUAUAAAUACAUACUGUAGUAUGUACUGAC